rnacentral:rRNA from 1 species
UGAUGUUAGCGGCGGACGGGUGAGUAACACGUGGGUAACCUGCCUGUAAGACUGGGAUAACUCCGGGAAACCGGGGCUAAUACCGGAUGGUUGUUUGAACCGCAUGGUUCAAACAUAAAAGGUGGCUUCGGCUACCACUUACAGAUGGACCCGCGGCGCAUUAGCUAGUUGGUGAGGUAACGGCUCACCAAGGCAACGAUGCGUAGCCGACCUGAGAGGGUGAUCGGCCACACUGGGACUGAGACACGGCCCAGACUCCUACGGGAGGCAGCAGUAGGGAAUCUUCCGCAAUGGACGAAAGUCUGACGGAGCAACGCCGCGUGAGUGAUGAAGGUUUUCGGAUCGUAAAGCUCUGUUGUUAGGGAAGAACAAGUACCGUUCGAAUAGGGCGGUACCUUGACGGUACCUAACCAGAAAGCCACGGCUAACUACGUGCCAGCAGCCGCGGUAAUACGUAGGUGGCAAGCGUUGUCCGGAAUUAUUGGGCGUAAAGGGCUCGCAGGCGGUUUCUUAAGUCUGAUGUGAAAGCCCCCGGCUCAACCGGGGAGGG